rnacentral:rRNA from 1 species
AUUAAACUAGGAUUAGAUACCCUAUUAUUUAAGAGCCUAAUGUUGUUAGUAAAUAAAAAUUAUGAAAGCAAAAAAUUAUGGCGGUAUUUUAAGCUUUUCAGAGGAAUUUGCUCUUUAAUGGAUAAAACACCUAAAUCUUACUUGAAUUUGUUAAGUCAAUUUGUAUACCACUAUAAAAACAAUUAAUAACUCUAAUUGUUUAAAUUUAUUAAAUUAAAGUAUAUUAAGUCAAGGUGCAGUAAAAAUUUAAGAAUGAAGUGAAUUACAUUUCUUUUUAGAAAUAAAAAAUUAAAUUUACAAAUAGGAUUUGAAAGUAAAAUUAAAAUAGAAUGUUAAUUUGAAUAAAGCUCUAAAAUAUGUACAUAUCGCCCGUCACUCUUUUACAAGAUAAGUC